CACGGCAAAGGAGAAUUGUACACACUUUGGGAGUAGAAUGGGCAUAAAGUACAUUUCUCAGGCUGCACCGUGUGUCUUGGUACUGAGUCUGAGUUAGCUUUCGAUCAUUACAUCGGCCUCCUCUCUGAAAGAAGCGCGCAGCCAUGACGGUUACAGUUGGCUACACGACAACAAAGAUGUCGAAAUUUCAGCUGUCUCUACUAACUCCGCGGGACUGAAGCUCCCACACAUGGCCUUAUGACUGUUCCCCCAGUGAAGCAUCUGAGGUCCAGCCUUCCUCACUCAAGACAUGCCUGAGACAAGAGUGACUGUGUUCCAGGUUGAACAAUGCACUGGAGGCCUGAUCAUACCUCACCUGUCUGCCUGCCUGCCUGCUCUUAACCCUUCAUCCACCAGUCAUGAAGGGUAGCCACGGCAUUCCCUCUCACUCACCCACCUUGCACCUGUCUCUCCAGCCAUACCUCACUGUCCUCCGCCUCAGCCAGCUGCCUCCCUGCUCACUCCACCUCUAGUCCCCGCUUCUCUUACAAUAAAUACCCUUUUCAAUUAAUCUACGUCUGCAUUUGGGUCUAAUCUGCAAAUCAUAACACUGAAUGUUUAUAAGCCCUUAAAAGUCUUAAAUUUGUUUUUGUUCCUACAGGUGUCUAAUACAUCAUGACAGAAUAUAUCAUGGUGAUAAAAGUCUGCAAUGUGUCCUUUUCUUGGACGAAAAUAAACAUUUGGACAAAUGUCAAUGUUGUUGUUUAGAUAAUUGUAAAAAUGUGCUUGCUUGUGUGACAAACUGUUUUAAAUGUUAUUCUAAGAAGCAUUUAAAAUGUUUUAAAAGCCUUAAAUUGAACUUGCUAAUGCCUGCAGAUGUCCUUAUUUAAAAUGUGGGGUUCCUAACUGAAAUGUAGUUCACUGCUUGAAAAGGACAAAAAUACUCAACACUAUAAUGUUGAAAUUAUUGGUCUAUGGUUGUUUCUGUCCUGGAACUACAACAAUGCAAGAUAAUGUAUAUUUUACUGACAAGCAGUUUUUGGUGUAUAAAUUUAGUUCUGGUGCACUUUAAUCUGUUGACAUAUCAAGAAAUGGAAUGACAUCAUUUUAUAAGAAAUAUACUAGGGGGGAUGUAGUCAUGAUAUUCUGUCAAUUUGCUGCAGUUAUGAUGGUAGAGGUCACAAUUAUGGUGAUGAGAGAUACUGUAUAUAUUAUACUAGCACUUUGUUGUUUCUGUAUCUAGUUUUGUUUGUUUAUGUCUCAUCUUCUGUACAAUAAUUAUGCGUACUGCAGCACAUAUUGCCUACUGAGAAAUGGAACUUGCACCUGAUCUCAAUGGCAUUUGGGCUUGAUAUGUGCAUUUUUACUGCUGCACUGAGUAUCUUUGAAAAUAAAUUUUCAGGUCAUGAA